rnacentral:rRNA from 1 species
GCACAAGCGGUGGAGCAUGUGUUUAAUUCGACGCAACGCGAAGAACCUUACCAGGGAUUGACAUCCCCGUGACCGGACAUGAAAGUGUCCUUUCACCUUCGGGUGACGGGGAGACAGGUGGUGCAUGGUUGUCGUCAGCUCGUGUCGUGAGAUGUUGGGUUAAGUCCCGCAACGAGCGCAACCCCUACGUUUAGUUGCUAACAGGUAAGCUGAGCACUCUGAAUGGACUGCCGUUGACAAAACGGAGGAAGGUGGGGAUGACGUCAAAUCAUCAUGCCCCUUAUACCCUGGGCUACACACGUGCUACAAUGGUCCGUACAGAGGGUAGCGACACGGCGACGUGAAGCGAAUCCCUUAAAGCGGAUCUCAGUUCGGAUUGCAGGCUGCAACUCGCCUGCAUGAAGUCGGAACCGCUAGUAAUCGCAGGUCAGCAUACUGCGGUGAAUACGUUCCCGGGCCUU